rnacentral:rRNA from 1 species
AGUGGCGGACGGGUGAGUAACGCGUGAGGAUCUGCCCUUAGGUUGGGGAAAACAGUUGGAAACGACUGCUAAUACCCAAUGUGCCGAGAGGUGAAAGGUUUACUGCCUGAGGAUGAGCUCGCGUCCGAUUAGCUAGUUGGUGGGGUAAUGGCGUACCAAGGCGACGAUCGGUAGCUGGUCUGAGAGGAUGAUCAGCCACACUGGGACUGAGACACGGCCCAGACUCCUACGGGAGGCAGCAGUGGGGAAUUUUCCGCAAUGGGCGAAAGCCUGACGGARCAAGACCGCGUGCGGGAGGACGGCCUGUGGGUUGUAAACCGCUUUUGACAGGGAAGAARCUCUGACGGUACCUGUCGAAUCAGCAUCGGCUAACUCCGUGCCAGCAGCCGCGGUAAUACGGAGGAUGCAAGCGUUAUCCGGAAUUAUUGGGCGUAAAGCGUCCGUAGGUGGUUUAGUAAGUCUGCUGUUAAAGCGUGGAGCUUAACUCCAUAUCGGCAGUGGAAACUACUUGACUUGAGUGCGGUAGGGGUCAGGGGAAUUCCCAGUGUAGCGGUGAAAUGCGUAGAUAUUGGGAAGAACACCGGUGGCGAAAGCGCCUGACUGGGCCUGCACUGACACUGAGGGACGAAAGCUAGGGGAGCGAAAGGGAUUAGAUACCCCUGUAGUCCUAGCYGUAAACGAUG